UGGAGGCUGGGCGUCGACGACGAUGUGCAGUGGUGUCGGGCUGUAGAGAUGCGGAAAUUACGGCUGGGGGACAUGGUGCGGAUGCGGAAAUUAUGCGUGAGGGGUGGGGAGAACAAAUUAACGUGGACUGUUAGAUGAACCUGAAUAGAUGGUUGAGAUCUAAUUUUCCUACGCAACUUCGUGCCUUUAUAAGUAGUAGAGAUAGAGAUAUAUAUGAUGGCUUUACAUCUCCCACGCAGCCAUACGAAGGGUUGUUUCGGCGAUUUUAAUGGCUUCUGUCGGUUCACUGUUGCGGUGGAUCCUAUAUUUGAGCCCCUCGGUUGCUUCUUCCUCAAAUCCCCCAAUCGCCUUUUGCUGUGCCCCCUCCUCUGUUGCCGGAUGACAACACUCGAUCCCCACAUCCGGCUAGCUGGUCAUCAUACGUGCGGUCUGAACUGAAUCAUACAGUAUGAGAAUCAAAGCUAAUCUUCAGCUCACAGAAGCAGUUUGUACGAGUUGAUCACACCAGUACGUCUGAGAAGAUGGUUUCUACAUUGGUCAAUUUAUUCAUAACGCCAUUCCUCCAGAGAAGAAGAUUUCUUAUAUCAGUUAUUUUUUUUCUGUACAGCAAAUCAGCAUACCCAUUCCGAAAGGUAUGUCUUUAGCAUGCAUUUUUUCCAUUGUUACUUCAGAUCAACUCUCUAUUUCAAAUUGUUAAAUGAAAUUUCAAUAUGAAAUAAUAAUCCUGUUGAUGUUGUAGAUAUCAGGCAUUUUCUAAUGAAUAAAGGUCACCAUGAUGGCUCUUGAUGUUGCAAAUCCCUGGGCAUGUUUUGAUGAAUUAAAGAUCGCCUUAAUGAUAAGUUACAACUAUAGAAUAGCCUAAUGUUGCAUUGCCAUAGGGUGGCUAUACCACCCCCUAGAGAGCCGCUCGAUUGAGCAUCUAGAUUCGAACAUGUUUCCUCCUACACAAUCUAAUUACCUGAAGCAUCAGCUGAACAUAUGCGUUAGGUGCAGCUCAUGUCAGUGUGAAUGGCCGGCACAUGCGGAGAUUGGCACGCAGUGGAAGUGGUCGUGUCAAGUCUAUACCUAAUAAUAAAGGGAAAAGCGUUUCCGUGGUUUCGUCCCGCGUUUCCGUCGUCCGUUGUUGGCUUCGUCCGUUGGCAGAGUUUCUAUUCAAACAAGCUACAGGCCCGAUCGUCCAGUUCUUACCAGGUCCGGUCUGCCUCUAAACAAAGUCUAAACCGCCAUAUAUACACCACGCUGGAUGGUGGUGUAUCCAGCGCCCAACUCCAGCACAGGUUCUGUCGUGAGUUGCAGAUCAACGAGUUCGGCGACUGUUUCUUCAUCAAGGAUCCGAGCGCCCAAAUCCAAACCGAACUCCUCUCCUAACUGCACGCCACCCCCUCUUCUACAUAUACAGGCGCCCCGUUGAUUUUGAUUGGAAUUUAUCCUGCCUGAUUUUGAUCUUGUCGCCACGGUCCCUGAAAAUCAAUCCGCGCGUGCCGCUCCGUUCUAGCGAGCGGCUCCCACCAUCGCGGCAGCUGGAAGGCGUGCCACGCCACCGCGAGCUCCAUCAACGCAGCGCGCGGAGCCACGCCGCUGGACAGGCCGCACGGUCAACGCCCUUGCUUGGAA